rnacentral:lncRNA from 1 species
CUCCUCAGACGAGAAGCAGGCGUCCAAGAAAAAACGCAAGAGAAGUGAAAAUGAGACUCCGCCCCAGGGUAAGACACGGCGCCAUAGGAGUGGGUCCUCAAGCUCUGCUCACAGCCAAUCCCCUCCCCUGCUGAGAGAGAGGCAGCAGAACCAGCCAGUCAAGAGAGCAGAAGAAGGGAGAAGGGGGCUGGCUCCUGACAGGAGGGGUUGUAGUCGUGAGGACGGGAGUCCACAGCGUCCAGGAGGCAGAGUGAGAUCUCCCAGGUAUCACAGCUCCCCUGAACGCCGACCGAGGGCAAACAAGGAAAAGGAGAAGGAGCGACUGAAGGACAAAGAGAAAAAAAGAGAGAAGGAGCGUGAGAAAGUGAAGCCUACAAGAAAGAGACACGACUCCUCUUCCCCCUCUCCUCCUCGACUGGAACGAGAGAAAGCCAGGCGCUCCAGAAGUGGAGAGCGAGAGAAGGAUAGAGGAAAUCAGAGAACAAUGCUGCAGAGGAGCAGAGACGACUCUUCAUCCCCCUCUCCACCCCCGAAACAACCGGACACCAGGAAACAGAGGAGCGGAAAGGAGGACAAACCACAAAGACGAGACUCCUCUGUGUCUCCAUCACGAGAAAAAGAGGGAGCAAAGAGUAGAGAGGGGGAGCGAGGAAAGGAAAGAAAUGUUCCCCCCCGAGCCCCAGCUGACAGAGAGAGGGGGAGAGGGAAUGAGAAAGGACCUCUCCCUAGUCGGAAAAGCGAUGGAGGGAGGGGUAGAAACUCAUCCCGCGACUCCACAUCCCCUGUCCCUCAAUCACCUCUCGCCAAUGGACGACAGAAAGAAAGGGAGCGUGAGGGAAGGACAGAGAACGAGUGGAAACCGGAGGAGAGGGGUAAAGGGAGGGAGAGGGAAUUGAAUGAAGAGAGGCAGAAACAAGAUGAGCGGAGGAAGCAGGAGAGUGAAAGGGAAAAAGAGAGGGAGCGAGACCGAGAUGGAGGGAGAGAGCGCGAGAGAUCUGGCAGAUUGUCUUCUACUCAACAACAUCCGUCUAUCUGUUUGUCUGAAGACCUCCCCGUGGAGCGAAUUGGGGAGAGGGGGACAGUCGAGAGGGAGCGAAAAAGACAAACUGACGAGGACACCAGGUGGGAGAACAGAGACCAAAGCCUGUCGGAAAAAGAGCAAGACAAGGAGAAGCAGAAAGCGAAGGAAAGCAGCAGCAGUAGCAGCGGGAGUGACAGCGACAGUUCUUCCUCAUCCUCCUCUGGCUCAUCAUCUUCUUCAUCCUCCGACGAGGAAGAGAAGAAAAAGGGAACCAUGGUGAAGAGCAGCCUGGCGAAGAAAGCCCUCCCCUCCCUCAUCGCUCCACCCGCCGUAGGUGCCGCCUUCCAGAGGUAUGUGGCCAAUGGGGACAGAGGGAGCGCUUCGGAGAGUGACGAACAGAGAGCUAUAGGGAGAGAGAAGGAAUGUGAGAGAACGGGAGGAGGGGACAGGGUCAUGCUCUCUGAAAGGGAAAACCCGCCCCCUGCUGCCCAACGUCCCCCUGCUGCCGAACGCUCCCCCCCCACAGACAGAGAGAAGGAGCGAGGGAGGGGACAGGAGAGGUACAGCCCAACGGAGGUAGAGAGCUCCAGCCCUCCACCCUCUCCUCCCAGAAGAGGAGCCCCCCAAGGCAGAAGCGAGAGGUACGCCCCCACUGAAGAGGAAAGAGAAAAGGUGCGGGAGAAGGAGAGAGAGGGAGGGGUGAAGAGCCAGGCCAGGAGGGCAGAGAGGCACAGCCCCUCUGAGCAGGAAUGGGAGAGGAAGAGGGCGCCCUCCCCAAAAGCCCCCGCAAUAGCAGUUGUCCCGCGGCCCUCCCCCCCUCGCCGCACCCCCCCACGRCAGUACCAGGACCCCCCCAAUCACUCCCCCAGCCCUCGACGACAAGCCAGCACCCGGAGAGCCUCGCCUCCUACCCGCUCCCCGACUCGCGCCUACGCACCACGGCGGAGCCGCAGCCGGGAGCUAGAGCACAACCGAGAGAGGCAGAGAGCGAGGGAUAGAGGGGGGAGGGAUUGCUCCAGAGACAGAGGAGCCAGGAGGAGCAGGUCGAGGAGCCCCAGAAGACGCAGUCCCCUCUACAGGUCUCGGCGAUCCCCCUCUCCCAUUCGAGGAAGUAGAAGCAGCCUCUCGCUAUCCAGAGAAAGGCGGAGAGACCAGGAGAGAGAGAAGAAUAGAGAGCUGGAGAGAGCGAGGGAAAAAGAGCGGCAACGUGAAAAAGAGCAAGAGAGGCGAGAGCGUCAACCUAUUAAAGAGGUCCCCCCACCCCGUCGCUCUUCCACUUCUGGUUCUUCUUCCUCAUCCCCCUCUCCGGCCCGAGAGAGGAAGGAGCUGCCUGUAGAAAAAGUGAUGAAACCAACGGUGGAGAAAGACCGAAGAAGUGAUAGAGACGAACGAGAGAAAGGGGGAGACAGAGGAAGGAAGGCUCGUUCCAUACCCUCACCGCUCCACUCCAAGGAGACCAGUCCCCUUCCCAGCCAAUCAGAAAUCAGAGCCCACCCCAAAGAAACACGUCACUCUGACCCACCCCACUUCAGGUCACCACAGGCCCUCAGCCAUUCAGAGACCAGAGUAUCUCUACGAGACACCUCGAGGACCCAAUCUCCUCUCCCCUCACGCAGCGCUACCGAUCCCUCAGACCGACCAGUCAGGACUGAAAACGGUGUGAGCGAGAAGGGGGCCAAAGAGAAAAGGAAAGGAAAGUUAGGCAGCCCCCGUUCUUCAUCGUCUUCUUCUUCUUCCUCCUCCUCAUCUUCCUCUUCAUCAGACAGUUCUGACUCUGAUACAGAGCAAGGAAAAGCGUAAGGAGGGGUGUUAAAUGAUUGACAUGUUUUACAUUUGGAUCACAUUGUGGAUAGAAAUGCCGUAAAUGGAGCUGACAUGAUUCCUCUCGUUACAAUAUCUCCCUCUCUCUCUCCCAGAGGUGACAGGAUAACGGCUGCCCAUAGCUCCUCCUCCUCCUCCUCUUCUGAAAGUGAGAAGGAAGACAAGAAAAAGUGGUAACCAAAAAGACUAGGACCACCAGAAUUGUUGUUAAUGUUAACUAUUUGUUAACUAUUUGUCAUAGAUCUAUUAUUUCCAUUGGUUCUUGACCCAGAACUCAUAUAAUGUAAUGUUUCUAGUUAUGGAAAUUACAAUAUUAUUUAUUACCUAAUGUUAUUCAAAAAGUCUGGAAUAUUUCUGUAACAUACAGGAACCAGUUGAUAUUUGACACCUCUGUCAUCUUUUCCAGCCCAGCGCAACCUCAAAGAGUGCCAGCUGAUUCGCUGAGAGACUCUCGCUCCCUCAGCUACUCUCCACCCAGACAGAGGCGACCUGCACAUUCUCCACCCAGCCGCAGGUCAGUAGUCAACUAGCCAAUUUGAAGGCAAACAUAUUUUUCUGUGUUCCUAUAGGACAAAACAGACUAAUCUUUAAAAUGAUUGACUCCAACAGAAGGUAUAGGUUUUGAGAAAUAAAGUAAUUGUACUUGCUACAACAGGUGAUUUUCACCUUGCCAUCUUAAGAUGUAUACACUAAUUGUCCGUCGCUCUGUAUAAGAAGUUUGCUUAAAUGACUAAAAUGUAAACAAACUAUUCUAGCAACUACUGUAUGUAAAUAAUUAUUGUGGAGUUAUCAGUACUGAUUGUAUUGGGUUAUUCUCCCCCUCUUUUCUAGGAGAGGCAGCAGACAGUCCCCAAGCCGAUCGCCAAGCAGUAGGAGAAGAAAAUGAUCCUUUGCUCUGAAGUGUAAUUGCCACUUUCCCUCCCCCUUCCUCCAUCCAAACACUUCUGGGCUGGAUUGAACUGGACUGUAUCAUUUGGAUAUUAAAGGGAGGGGAAGUUAAGGACAUUUGAUCUGUGAAUGACUGAGUGAAUUAAGCUUUGUUGUUGAUUCUGUGGCAUGAGGAUAGCACCACAGGAAGAAAAUAUUGGCAGAAUUUGAAACCCAACAGAGACCAAGAGGUCUGCUUUUAGUCAAGGGGUUUUGUACAUUUUGUUUUAUGCUGUACUGUAAGGAAGAAAUGUAACUGUAAAUGGUAGGUGGAAGAGCCCAUGGUAGGAAAGUUAAGCACAGAAGCUUUCCAGACUCAAAACACUGUGUGCACACCCACACAGUCCUAUUCAAUUAUCUCAAAACAACAAAGUAACAUUCACUGUGCAUUUUCUUCCCCUCUGUAUUUGUGUUGAUCAACAUGUAGAUAUGACCCAUCUGUGUUUUGGUUAUCGCUGAAUUAUGUGAUGUUUCCAUGUUGAUUAGAAACUGCAACUCAUGGUUUGUUUCUCUUUGAAAAUAAUGAAUAAUAAUAAAAAAGUUGUAUCAUUUGUGUUGGCAGUGAUUAAUUUUCAACCAUUCAAUUGUUUGUAAGUAAUCUCUGCAACAUUGAACUAAAAUUUCGUGCCAUUAAAUGCGGAUUAAUUUGUAAGUAAAAACAAGUGCAAUCACUAACCAGUUUUCCAUCCAACCUUUCUAUGCGAGUUAAGUACAUGACAGGCCUGAUGGAAACAACAUUUGUUGGUAAACUUUCCAAGUGUAGUGGGACCGCUUUUAUGCACAAAUAUCGAUAUAUCUAAGUAAACUUGGGAGUCAGGAGAACGUGUUUUCGGCUCGCAACGACUAGUCGCAAUCAUCGCGCAGGGUGUAAUUGCGGCAUGCAAUUCUGGGCAUGUACAGGAAACCCUCUAUAUUUAGGUUUGUCCAUUUUUAAUAUUGGACAGGCGGGGGCAGUACAGUAGGUGGCGUUAAUGCACAAUAACGUUGGAUGCCAGCCACCGCUAAACUCCAUAGAAGGAGUGCACUGUUCUCGCAGCAGUAUAGGGGGUGAUG